AUUGAACGCUGGCGGCAGGCUUAACACAUGCAAGUCGAACGAGUGGCGGACGGGUGAGUAAUGCUUGGGAAUCUGGCCUAUGGAGGGGGAUAACGACGGGAAACUGUCGCUAAUACCGCGUACCAUAGGAUGAGCCCAAGUGGGAUUAGGUAGUUGGUGGGGUAAACGCCUACCAAGCCUGCGAUCUCUAGCUGGUCUGAGAGGAUGACCAGCCACACUGGAACGGGGACACGGUCCAGACUCCGACGGGAGGCAGCAGUGGGGAAUAUUGCACAAUGGGCGCAAGCCUGAUGCAGCCAUGCCGCGUGUAUGAAGAAGGCCUUAGGGUUGUAAAGUACUUUCAGCGGGGAGGCGUUACCCGAAGAAGAAGCACCGGCUAACUCCGUGCCAGCAGCCGCGGUAAUUC
rnacentral:rRNA from 1 species